UACGUAGGGGGCGAGCGUUGUCCGGAUUUAUUGGGCGUAAAGGGUCCGGAGGCGGUCGUUGAAGUUUCGCGUGACAGUCCUCGGCUUAACUGAGGAAGGAUGCGGAAAACUGAGCGACUUGAGGGCGUAAGAGGAAAGCGGAAUUCCGGGUGGAGUGGUGAAAUUCGUAGAUAUCGGGAGGAACACCAGUGGCGAAGGCGGCGACCUGGACGGACAUUGACGCUGAGACGCGAAAGCGUGGGGAGCAAACAGG
rnacentral:rRNA from 1 species